CCUACGGGAGGCAGCAGUGGGGAAUAUUGGACAAUGGGGGGAACCCUGAUCCAGCCAUGCCGCGUGUGUGAAGAAGGCCCUCGGGUUGUAAAGCACUUUCAGUGAGGAAGAACGCCUGGUGGUUAAUACCCAUCAGGAAAGACAUCACUCACAGAAGAAGCACCGGCUAACUCCGUGCCAGCAGCCGCGGUAAUACGGAGGGUGCGAGCGUUAAUCGGAAUUACUGGGCGUAAAGCGCGCGUAGGUGGCUUGAUAAGCCGGUUGUGAAAGCCCCGGGCUCAACCUGGGAACGGCAUCCGGAACUGUCAAGCUAGAGUGCAGGAGAGGAAGGUAGAAUUCCCGGUGUAGCGGUGAAAUGCGUAGAGAUCUGGAGGAAUACCAGUGGCGAAGGCGGCCUUCUGGACUGACACUGACACUGAGGUGCGAAAGCGUGGGUAGCAAACAGGAUUAGAUACCCCGGUAGUC
rnacentral:rRNA from 1 species